rnacentral:rRNA from 1 species
UAGUACGGCGAGUGAAGAGGGAAGAGCCCAAGAUUGAAAGCUGGCGCCUUCGGCGUCCGCAUUGUAAUCUCAAGAAGUGUUUUCCGCUUCGGACCAUGCCUAAGUCCCUUGGAAAAGGGCAUCAUAGAGGGUGAUAAUCCCGUACAUGGCAUGGAGCGCCCGAAGCUUUGUGAUACGCUUUCUAAGAGUCGAGUUGUUUGGGAAUGCAGCUCAAAAUGGGUGGUAAAUGCCAUCUAAGGCUAAAUAUUGGGGAGAGACCGAUAGCGAACAAGUACAGUGAUGGAAAGAUGAAAAGAACUUUGAAAAGAGAGUUAAACAGUACGUGAAAUUGCCAAAAGGGAAGGGUAGGAGGUCAGAGAUGCGUCGCAGGAUUCAGCCUUGCUUUUGCUUGGUGUUUUUCCUGCGUUGCAGGCCAACGUCGGUUUUGGGCACUGGAGAAGGGUAGGAGGAACGUGGCACCUCUCGGGGUGUGUUAUAGCCUCCUACUGGAUACAGCGACCGAGACCGAGGAACGCAGCGUACUCGUAAGAGCGGGCCUUUUGGCACCUUUACGCUUAGGGCGUUGGCAUAAUGGCCCUCUACCACCCGUC